rnacentral:misc_RNA from 1 species
GAUGAAGAACGUAGCGAAAUGCGAUAAGUAAUGUGAAUUGCAGAAUUCAGUGAAUCAUCGAAUCUUUGAACGCACAUUGCGCCCUCUGGUAUUCCGGGGGGCAUGCCUGUUCGAGCGUCAUUAUAACCACUCAAGCUCUCGCUUGGUAUUGGGGCUCGCGGUUCCGCGGCCCCUAAAAUCAGUGGCGGUGCCUGUCGGCUCUACGCGUAGUAAUACUCCUCGCGAUUGAGUCCGGUAGGUCUACUUGCCAGCAACCCCCAAUUUUUACAGGUUGACCUCGGAUCAGGUAGGGAUACCCGCUGAACUAAGCAUAUCAAUAAGCGGAGGA